GAUGAUCAGGUUGAUAGGUCUGAGGUGGAAGCGUGGUGACACGUGGAGCUGACAGAUACUAAUAGAUCGAGGGCUUAACCUAUAUU
rnacentral:rRNA from 1 species